CGUGUCGCGAUGGAUGA
rnacentral:rRNA from 1 species